rnacentral:misc_RNA from 1 species
GAUGAAGAACGUAGCGAAAUGCGAUAAGUAGUGUGAAUUGCAGAAUUCAGUGAAUCAUCGAAUCUUUGAACGCACAUUGCGCCCCUUGGUAUUCCAUGGGGCAUGCCUGUUCGAGCGUCAUUUGUACCUUCAAGCUUUGCUUGGUGUUGGGUGUUUGUCUCGCCUUUGCGUGUAGACUCGCCUUAAAAUAAUUGGCAGCCGGCGUAUUGAUUUCGGAGCGCAGUACAUCUCGCGCUUUGCACUCAUAACGACAGCGUCCAAAAGUACAUUUUACACUCUUGACCUCGGAUCAGGUAGGAUACCCGCUGAACUUAAGCAUAUCAAUAAGCGGAGGA